rnacentral:lncRNA from 1 species
GCAAUUUCACCUGAGUGACCGGAAGGGGUGGAGCCUGGCUCCCCCCAACCUCCUAGACCCCAUUUAAGGGCUGACUCCCAAGGAGGGAGGAUCUCCAGCUAGAGAUCCUUCCUCUUGGAAUCCUUCUGUGAGCCUAGGACACAGUGGACAGCUUUGCAUGCCCAGAGAAGAGAAGAAAAUGCAGAAUACAGCAUCAGUGCUCUUGCACAAGGAGAACCCUUCCAAAAAUCAAUGGUUAUGGGAAUUCCUGAGCUGAGAGAUGCUUCUGGAUGACCAUGCUUAAUAAUCACUGGAGAACCCAGCUAAAGAUUCCACAUCACCUUAGCAAGAAGUCCCACUGUGCAGUAGUGAACACUUCUUGCCAAGAUUCAGAGAAUACCUAAUGCUGUCAUUUUAUGUUGGUCACUCAGUAGGUAAUGUUUCUUAUUUAUUUCCAUGGAAACUACAACAGAUACAAAGAGCGCAUUAACACUAUUUGAUAGAGAAAAUUCUCAGCCACAGAUCACUGUUUUUCAACAUAGUUGCCACCAUUAGCUACGCAUUUUCACUCGCUAUGACCAAGAGCCUGCAUGCUCUGCUCAUAAAAAUUUCCACCAGUGGAGAUGACCCACUGUUUCACAGUUGGUAUGACAGCAUCAUUGCUAGGAAAUACAUUUCCCAUGCAGUCCAUCUUUCAUUGGCCCAAACAGAUGAAAGUCAGAUCCAAACUGUGUGGUGGAUGUAGUGGGUCAGUCCAGCCAAGACUGGCAAUGUGCUCCAUGGUCUUCAAACAGGCAUGGGGCCUGGUGUUACCAUGUUGCAAGAGAAAGGGUGUCUUCUUCUCCAGCCUGACUGCAAGUUUGAGCUUUCUGCUUAGUCAAUGCCAUACUGCAGUGGUCGGAGUUGAUGGUCUGUCCCAGUUCCAGUAAAUCCAGAAGGAUUGCCCCUUUUCCUAUCCCAAAAGACACUGCACAUGACUUUACCCAUUAAGGGCUGCAUCUGGAACUUCUUCUUCAGUGUGGAAUUUGCAUGUUGCUACUUCAUGAGCUGCCAUUUUGAUGCUGGAGCAUAAUGGAGACACCGCAUCUCAUCACCAGAAAUGAUGUGAUUGAGAAAACUGUCACCCUCAUCCUCAUAUUGGCUCAAUGUGUCAUGACAUACUUGCGUACAGUGUUCUUUCUGUUCCUGUGUGAGCAUUUGUGGGACCCAUCUGCCACAAACUUCAUGGUAUGCCAGUGUUGCCACCAUCAUUUCCAGUGCAUUGAAGCUGAUACACAGUUUACUGGUCAUAAUCUGCUGAUUCACAUGGAUGAGAUGAUCAGGUCACUCUUCAUUUUGUGGUGUGACAGAUGUGUGUGGCCAUCCAGAAUGUGGGUUGCCUUUCACAUCACUGUUGCCACUGCUGAAACACAGCACUCCCCCCUCUGUGUUAACAUCCAUUAUUUGGUCUUCAUAAACAUUCAGCAAGUGUCAAUGAAUGUCAGUGGCUACCAUCCUUUUUUUUUUGACAAGAAAGAAUUCAGUGGCACACCUUUGUUUCCUAUGCACUUUCAUGCCAGGUGCCAUCUUGUCAGACUGCCCCUCUGCUGCCAUCUUUGCAAGGCAACAACAUGUAACAGGAUGUUGGUGGGAAGGUUCAUCCUCUACUGCCGCACCACCACCAACAACCUCCUCUGACAUCAUGGGCUGACAUCUUAAAGUAGAAGGUGUUACUUUUGGAGCAGCCCUUAUAGCUACAGUUUUAUACUUGAAAACAUUGUAAAAUUAUAAGAGUGUGCACUGGAUGCAGUUCUGCAUAUGUUGGGUUAUGGACUGAAUUUAGUGCUCCAACUUAGACUCUUCAUUGCUUUAUUUAUUAUAAAUAUUCCAGGCCAAAUUACCACUCAGCAGCCUGAGUGAUAUAAUAAUCUCCUAAACAUCAAGGAAACAGAGAGAGAAAAUAACUCCAAACUUUGUUAUUCAUAUUUGUAAAAUAGAAUAUUACAUUUCUGAG